rnacentral:rRNA from 1 species
GAUGAACGCUGGCGGCGUGCCUAAUACAUGCAAGUCGAGCGCACGGACGAGAAGCUUUCUUCUCUGAUGUUAGCGGCGGACGGGUGAGUAACACGUGGAUAACCUAUCUAUAAGACUGGGAUACCUUCGGGAAACCGGAGCUAAUACCGGAUGAUAUUUUGAACCGCAUGGUUCCAAAGUGAAAGACGGGCUUGCUGUCACUUAUAGAUGGAUCCGCGCUGCAUUAGCUAGUUGGUAAGGUAACGGCUUACCAAGGCAACGAUGCGUAGCCGACCUGAGAGGGGGAUCGGCCACACUGGAACUGAGACGCGGUCCAGACUCCUACGGGAGGCAGCAGUAGGGAAUCUUCCGCAAUGGGCGAAAGCCUGACGGAGCAACGCCGCGUGAGUGAUGAAGGGCUUCGGCUCGUAAAACUCUGUUAUUAGGGAAGAACAUAUGUGUAAGUAACUGUGCACUUCUUGACGGUACCUAAUCAGAAAGCCACGGCUAACUACGUG